GACGAACGCUGGCGGCGUGCCUAAUACAUGCAAGUAGAACGCUGAAGGAGGAGCUUGCUUCUCUGGAUGAGUUGCGAACGGGUGAGUAACGCGUAGGUAACCUGCCUGGUAGCGGGGGAUAACUAUUGGAAACGAUAGCUAAUACCGCAUAAGAGUAGAUGUCGCAUGACAUUUGCUUAAAAGGUGCAAUUGCAUCACUACCAGAUGGACCUGCGUUGUAUUAGCUAGUUGGUGAGGUAACGGCUCACCAAGGCAACGAUACAUAGCCGACCUGAGAGGGGGAGCGGCCACACUGGGACUGAGACACGGCCCAGACUCCUACGGGAGGCAGCAGUAGGGAAUCUUCGGCAAUGGACGGAAGUCUGACCGAGCAACGCCGCGUGAGUGAAGAAGGUUGUCGGAUCGUAAAGCUCUGUUGUAAGAGAAGAACGAGUGUGAGAGUGGAAAGUUCACACUGUGACGGUAUCUUACCAGAAAGGGACGGCUAACUACGUG
rnacentral:rRNA from 1 species